AUACGGGAGAGCCCAAGCUCAUCGUAAGAUGAGUUAUGGCGCCGACGGAGCAACCACCCCCGGAAACUCUCAGGCACAAUCACCGUA
rnacentral:ncRNA from 1 species